rnacentral:rRNA from 1 species
GACGAACGCUGGCGGCGUGCUUAACACAUGCAAGUCGAGCGGAGCGGCGAACUGGUGAGUAACGCGUGAGUACCUGCCCCCCUCUCUGGGAUAACAGUUGGACACGGCUGCUCAUCCCGGAUAGUGGGGGCUGACUCGCGUCCUCUCAGCUUGUUGGUGGGGUAGUGGCCUACCAAGGCGACGACGGGUAGCCGGCCUGAGAGGGCGACCGGCCAAAUUGGGCGGAGAUACGGCCCAAACUCCUAGGGGGGGCAGCAGUGGGGAAUAUCGCAAAAGGGGGGAAACCCUGAGGCAGCAACGCCGCGGGGAGGAAGAAGGUCUUGGGUUGGUAAAGUACUUUCAGCGAGGAGGCGGUGUGGUUAAUAAGCGCAGCGAUUGACGUUACUCGCAGAAGAAGCAUCGGCUAACUACGUGCCAGCAGCCGCGGUAAUUC